CGCCGCUAAGCGCGGAAAAACCGAGAAGGGACAUGGGGCACCCCGCGCACCACAGCAUAAGCAACGAGAGCACCGAAACGAGCAGAACACGUGAGACUAAUGUCGAUCGUGAGCAUUCCACUACCAUCGGCACGCCGCACCCAUGCAGCUUAGCACGAGAAACCCGUGAGGGGCCGACCGAGGGCACCGCGCACCGCGGCAUAAGCAUCUAGCGCACCGAAACGAGCGGAACACGUGAGACUAACGUCGAUCGAGAGCAUUCCACUUCCAUCGGCACGCCGCACCCAUGCAGCUUAGCGCGGUAAACCCGAGAGGGACCGAGGGCACCGCGCACCGCGGCAUAAGCAACUAGCGCACCGAAACGAGCGGAACACGUGAGACUAACGUCGAUCGAGAGCAUUCCACUACCAUCGGCACGCCGCACCCAUGCAGCUUAGCGCGGUAAACACGAGAGGGACCGAGGGCACCGCGCACCGCGGCAUAAGCAACUAGCGCACCGAAACGAGCGGAACACGUGAGACUAACGUCGAUCGAGAGCAUUCCACUACCAUCGGCACGCCGCACCCAUGCAGCUUAGCGCGGUAAACCCGAGAGGGACCGAGGGCACCGCGCACCGCGGCAUAAGCAUCUAGCGCACCGAAACGAGCGGAACACGUGAGACUAACGUCGAUCGAGAGCAUUCCACUACCAUCGGCACGCCGCACCCAUGCAGCUUAGCGCGAUAAACCCGAGAG
rnacentral:lncRNA from 1 species